UACGUAGGUGGCGAGCGUUGUCCGGAUUUACUGGGCGUAAAGAGCGCGCAGGCGGUCGGAUAAGGCGAAUGUGAAAGCCCCCGGCUCAACUGGGGAGGGUCAUUCGAUACUGUUCGACUCGAAGGCAGGAGAGGGAAGUGGAAUUCCCGGUGUAGUGGUGAAAUGCGUAGAUAUCGGGAGGAACACCAGUGGCGAAGGCGACUUCCUGGCCUGUUCUUGACGCUGAGGCGCGAAAGCUAGGGGAGCAAACGGG
rnacentral:rRNA from 1 species